rnacentral:tRNA from 1 species
GGUCUGGUGGUGUAGUUGGUUAUCACGUCAGUCUAACAGCUCGAGAUUCGCAGAGUCUCGUUCUGUGUACACUGAAGGUCUCCGGUUCAAGUCCGGGCUAGAUCA